rnacentral:rRNA from 1 species
UGGGGAAUAUUGCACAAUGGGCGCAAGCCUGAUGCAGCCAUGCCGCGUGUGUGAAGAAGGCCUUCGGGUUGUAAAGCACUUUCAGCGGGGAGGAAGGCGGUGAGGUUAAUAACCUCAUCGAUUGACGUUACCCGCAGAAGAAGCACCGGCUAACUCCGUGCCAGCAGCCGCGGUAAUACGGAGGGUGCAAGCGUUAAUCGGAAUUACUGGGCGUAAAGCGCACGCAGGCGGUUGAUUGAGUCAGAUGUGAAAUCCCCGGGCUUAACCCGGGAAUUGCAUCUGAUACUGGUCAGCUAGAGUCUUGUAGAGGGGGUAGAAUUCCAUGUGUAGCGGUGAAAUGCGUAGAGAUCUGGAGGAAUACCGGUGGCGAAGGCGGCCCCCUGGACGAAGACUGACGCUCAGGUGCGAAAGCGUGGGGAGCAAACAGG